AUUCUAUGAGACGGAGUAAUGGCAUCAUCUAGAAAAGGGAUAGGAAUUGCAUGGCGAUCAAUCUUCUGUACAUGUCAGAAAUUUACACAGACCACAGAGUUCUUCCUCUAAAAUGACAGAUUAUUAUUGAAAGCUUCCCCAUAUAUCCUGAAACACAACACUGUUUUUAACCAAAAUAUACCCCGCGAGCAACAUACUUUGAUUUUGUGUGAACACUCCUAACAUGGCCGCCAAUAAACCCACGAGUAGCUCAGUACUGCUAAUAACAGUCGCCCACGAGCUACAUUUGUAUACUACUUCUCACAUUACAGUAUAUCACGACCGGUACAAAUCAUAAAUUAAGAAAGUAACUUCUUGUCAAAGCAUUGUCCUGAGAAACCUGAUAAUUCCUAGGUCAUCUGUCCUAAGUCCUAACUGUCAUUUGUUAGAUCUAGCUUGUAUGUGACUUUUGUUUUAGUACAAAAAAAUCCAAUGACAUACGCAGAUACGUACGCCACAUGAAUUGGACUUGGCAGCUCUCAUGCGAAAACAACAUAUCUUGGAAUCAAUCCAUCGAACCGUAAUUUGCUACAAGAUUCAUGCACCUGUCCCCUUAUCUCUCCCCUUCUCCCAUGCCGUGACCCCCCUUGUCUUAAAUUUAUCCCCGCCGCCACCAGUGCUUCCACGCCCCUUCAACCAAAUUGCCAGUUCCAUACCAUCGCCUUGCUUCUUCCAUCAGAGCAGGUUAGGUGUUGGGACUAGGCGCCUGCAUAACAAAAAAGCGAGAACAAUCAGAUGCACUUCUCUACGUCUACGUCUAGCAGUAAUCUACUCUGAUGGUUCAAACAGAAAGAUGCACUUAAAACUUCAGGGGAACAUGGAUAAAUUGUUCAGGAUUCACAUCGACUGAAUAUCAGCAAAGGAAGUAUUACAUCUUCCUCUGGAACACGCACAUAACUGCGUGUAAUUUUGUACCAGAAAAUGGCGUCAAAUAAUGCAGGCCUUUCAAUAAAAAACAGCUGGUAAAGAAACCUGAAAAACUAAGCUAGGAAGAAACCAAAACCAAAACCAAGACACAAACACAAACCAAACAUUCAAAAAGAAAAAGAACAGCCAUAUCCAGCUAUGCAUAUGAAGUGAAACAUGAGCACACCAUAUCUUUUGAGCAGAAAUGAGCACACCAUAUCCUUCAACGGAUAUGAUUUGCAAGGCACCACCAAAAUAUCGAGCAAAAAGGGCGAAUGGCAAUAAGACCUUAACCAUAUCCUGCUUGUUGGCAAAGAUAGGGAGGCAGUUGGCAUUCCACUACCUUCAUCCCUGACCUCCAUUAGCAAAGCAUUGAAGGUCAAAUAAUUAAAUCACCGGUCCACCACCUGGGAUGUAUUCAAUGAGAACAUGUUGGCUCUCUGCAUCAAGUGAUGCACACAGCCAUCAUGAUUCCUCAUGUUGAUUGUUUAAUAUUAAAACUAGACCAAAACAGGUCUCAGUCCACAAAAUCUAGCACUCUGCUGACAUUACAAAGCAUGUACUCCCUCUGCCCAGGUAUAUUGAGCCGGCUAGCCAAAACUCGAGGACCAAGGAAGGAUAUUACUGGUAACCACCCAUGAUUUUCGAGCAUAGCAGCAGCCAAUCAGAUUAACUCAUAAUUAUUUCAGAGCAUUGCAGCAGCCGGCUUCGCUUUUGCAUGCAGCCAACCACCGCAUACGUCCACACAUGCGUUCAACGGAGGGGAUUAUCGAGGGGAAGUAAACACCCACGUCCAGUGGGGCCUUAAAAACACAGACGUGGCUGGCUUGCUAAGUGACCCGAUAAACCUGGACGGAGGGGGUACCACAUAGAAGGACUGAUAUCAAGAACUUUGAUUCUGCAUCUACUUUUAGUAACAGCGAGCAAAUGUUGUUGGGAUGUAGCAAGAAACUAAACUGACAGAGAACUCAUAAAUUGGAUUCCCUCACAGCCAUGGAGAUCUACGUGAGUGAAGUUGCCCAGCAACAAUACAUGGACAAGCUGAAAUGCUAACACACACUCAAGAUCAAAAUACCAAUGGCAAAAUCUCCCGUAAACAUGGUAAUAUGGACACAGAAGAAAGACGAUUGAAAUAUAUGCAGAUUAUAAACACAAUAUGAGUGCAAACAUUCCAUAUAAACAAUUCAAUGUCAAAUGUAAAAUCCAUACAGAACUCGAGCCUGUCAAAUGUACUGUAGAAUCCAAGCAGGCUCCUAGUAUGUGCUGCCAUGGGGCUUCACCUAAACAUUCAAGAUUCAUAAAGAAACCUUCAAGGGGGCUCCCUCCAUUCACAAAUACAAGAUGUUCGAACUUUUUUCAGAAUCAGAUGUAUAUAGAAUAUAGAGACACGUUUUAGCGUCUGUUCACUCAUUUCCAUAAUUCCAUAUCGAAAUAUCCAAAACAUUAUAUUUGUGAAAGUUGGGAGUACCUACUAAAUAUAGCAUGGUAACAAGACUUCAACUAAUCACAUCACUAAAUGUACUCCAGCAAAUGAUCAUGUGAGUGUUCGCAUGUGCAUAUCCAGAUCAUGUGCUAUCCCCCUACAGCAAGUUGUUUAAACAAUCACCUAGCCAUCAGUGGAAACAUGGCAAUAUGUGGUACAACCAAAUGAAAAGACACCAUAUAAAAGCACAAGAUUAUCCCAUAGCAUUAGUCCAUUUGCAAUUAGACUACUGCAGCACAAUGUUUUCCAAAUUUCAACAACUAUUCAAUGAUCACGUCCAAGCAUGUCAAAACAUAAAUCUCCUACCACAUACAAGUUAUGGUAAGUUAUCUCAAAAAAAUAAAAAUAAAACCAUAAAUCUCAUCAAUAGCUUAUGUUAUGUCAAGCACAACUAAAGUGACGAUAUUUGGUGUCCACCCACAUCCACACCAUCACGUGAGGGCAUGUGGGAUCUCCAAACUGGUGGAGUAACCUCCAGCUCAUGGAAGUUCAUAACCAAGGUCUCCAACCUUUAAAUGCAUAUAUGCAACAAUAUGCAUUUAUUUCCUCAUAAGUGUGAAUCAUAACCCCAUAUAUUCCAUAAACACGAGCAAGAAUUUCGAGCAUAAUAAGAACGAUUCAGUAACCAUAUUCAACAAGAAAAAAACUUCUCAAGACUCAUGAGCAACAUAUACCAUGAAGAACAAGGAGCGCAACAUACACAAACAUCCAAUGGUAUCAAUGGUGACGUGCAUACAUUGAGUACCAAUAUGCAUGUACCUGCCUCAACCAGAGUGCAAGGUGCAGUUGUAGCAGCUCCGAGAUAUUCCAUAAACAUGAGCAAGAAUUUCGAGCAUAAUAAGAAUGAUUCAGUAGCCAUAUUCGACAAAAAAAAAAAAAAUCUCAAGAGUCAUGAGCAAAGAACAAGGAGCGCAACAUACACAAACAUCCAAUGGUAUCAAUGGUGACGUGCAUCCAUUGACUACCAGUAUGCAUGCGCCUGACUCAACCAGAGUGCAAGGUGGCUGUAGCAGCUCCGACAUAUUCCAUAAACACGAGCAAGAAUUUCGAGCAUAAUAAGAAUGAUUCAGUAGCCAUAUUCGACAAAAAAAAAACUUCUCAAGACUCAUGAGCAACAUAUGCAAUGAAGAACAAGGAGCGCAACAUACACAAACAUCCAAUGGUAUAAAUGGUGACGCACAUCCAUUGACUACCAAUAUGCAUGUAUCUGCCUCAACCAGAGUGCACGGUGCAGUUGUAGCAGCUCCAACCCAACUUGCCUCUAACGCUC
rnacentral:lncRNA from 1 species